GGGGGUAUAGCUCAGCUGGGAGAGCAACAGACUGAAGCGCCAUAGCUAAAGAUAAAUUGCACUUCUGGAGGUCCCCAGUUCAAUCCUGGGUGUCCCCA